GAUGAACGCUGGCGGCGUGCCUAAUACAUGCCAGUCGAGCGAACGGACGAGAAGCUUGCUUCUCUGAUGUUAGCGGCGGACGGGUGAGUAACACGUGGAUAACCUACCUAUAAGACUGGGAUAACUUCGGGAAACCGGAGCUAAUACCGGAUAAUAUUUUGAACCGCAUGGUUCAAAAGUGAAAGACGGUCUUGCUAUCACUUAUAGAUGGAUCCGCGCUGCAUUAGCUAGUUGGUAAGGUAACGGCUUACCAAGGCAACGAUGCAUAGCCGACCUGAGAGGGUGAUCGGCCACACUGGAACUGAGACACGGUCCAGACUCCUACGGGAGGCAGCAGUAGGGAAUCUUCCGCAAUGGGCGAAAGCCUGACGGAGCAACGCCGCGUGAGUGAUGAAGAUCUUCGGAUCGUAAAACUCUGUUAUUAGGGAAGAACAUAUGUGUAAGUAACUGUGCACAUCUUGACGGUACCUAAUCAGAAAGCCACGGCUAACUACGUG
rnacentral:rRNA from 1 species